CCCACCCUCAGUUAAUGUCUUAUUUGCAGGUUAACUUUUCUUCACAGGUUUUGCAGGUUAACUUUUCUUCACAGGUAUGCGGGCGCUGCUACGUUAAGGUCGCUGUUAAAGGGCCGGAAAGGAAUUUCCCUGCAUUGGCAGGUUUCGCCUUUCCCGUAGCAAAACGUCACAACUUUGGCGGUAUCAGGCCUUGGGCGGAAUCCUUUAGUUCAUCUUCCUCUUUGCGGCGGCGAUACCAGGGUUCCCCGUUAAAGGGGUUUCUGAAGGGAGGCUUUGACCGUACGCCGAAAGGUCGUCAUUGCUCUCCCCUGCGGCGGCGGC